rnacentral:rRNA from 1 species
GAUGAACGCUGGCGGCGUGCCUAAUACAUGCAAGUCGAGCGAACAGAUGAGGAGCUUGCUCCUCUGACGUUAGCGGCGGACGGGUGAGUAACACGUGGAUAACCUACCUAUAAGACUGGGAUAACUUCGGGAAACCGGAGCUAAUACCGGAUAAUAUAUUGAACCGCAUGGUUCAAUAGUGAAAGACGGUUUUGCUGUCACUUAUAGAUGGAUCCGCGCCGCAUUAGCUAGUUGGUAAGGUAACGGCUUACCAAGGCAACGAUGCGUAGCCGACCUGAGAGGGUGAUCGGCCACACGGGAACUGAGACACGGUCCAGACUCCUACGGGAGGCAGCAGGAGGGAAUCUUCCGCAAUGGGCGAAAGCCUGACGGAGCAACGCCGCGUGAGUGAUGAAGGUCUUCGGAUCGUAAAACUCUGUUAUUGGGGAAGAACAAAUGUGUAAGUAACUAUGCACGUCUUGACGGUACCUAAUCAGAAAGCCACGGCUAACUACGUG